GAAACGGAAGCAUUCUCAGAAACUGCUUUGUGAUGAUUGCAUUCAACUCACAGAGUUGAAGAUUGCAUUUGAAACAGCAGUUUCUAAACACUCUUUCUGUGGGAUCUGCAAGUGGAUAUUUGGACCUCUUUGAAGAUUUCGUUGGAAAAGGGAUAAUCUUCACAUAAAAGCUAAACUGAAGCAUUAUCAGAAACUUCUUUGUGAUGCGUGCAUUCAACUCACAGAGUUGAACAUUCCUUUAGAUAGA
rnacentral:lncRNA from 1 species